rnacentral:rRNA from 1 species
ACUUAAAAGAAAGACGACAAGACCCUAUUGAACUUUACUGUAGUUUUACUGGGGCAGUAAAUCAAUUAUUAUUUUAAUUUAAAUAUUUAUAUAAAUAUCCAAUAUUAUUGAAUAAUUAAGUUACCAUAGGGAUAACAGCGUAAUUAAAUUUAAGAGACCUUAUCUAAAAAAUAGAUUGCGACCUCGAUGUUGAAUUAAUAACCUAACAUAAGCAAAAGUUUAUAAAGGAAGUCUGUUCGACUUUUAAAAAAUUACAUGAUUUGAGUUCAGACCGGUGUAAGCCAGGUCGGUUUCUAUCUUCUAAAAAGUUUUCUACAGUACGAAAGGACCUAGAAAUAUAAUUA